rnacentral:rRNA from 1 species
UACGUAGGGAGCAAGCGUUAAUCGGAAUUACUGGGCGUAAAGCGUGCGCAGGCGGUUCCAUAAUACAGAUGUGAAAUCCCCGGGCUCAACCUGGGAACUGCAUUUGUGACUGUGGGGCUAGAGUACGGUAGAGGGGGAUGGAAUUCCGCGUGUAGCAGUGAAAUGCGUAGAUAUGCGGAGGAACACCAAUGGCGAAGGCAAUCCCCUGGACCUGUACUUACGCUCAUGCACGAAAGCGUGGGGAGCAAACAGG